GGGAAGCCCUUCGGGGCGAAGUAGCUGAUUUCACACUGUCAAGAAAAGCUUCUAUCGAGUUUAAAGGCGCCCGUACCGUAAACCGACACAGGUGGGUGAGGAGAGUAUCCUAAGGCCAGCGAGAGAACUAUUGUUAAGGAACUCGGCAAAAUGACCCCGUAACUUAGGGAGAAGGGGUGCCUGUCUAUGACAGGCCGCAGAGAAUAGGCCCAAGCGACUGUUUACCAAAAACACAGGUUUCUGCUAAGUCGCAAGACGAUGUAUAGGAGCUGACGCCUGCCCGGUGCUGGAAGGUUAAGGGGAUCUGUUAGAGCAAUCGAAGCAGUGAACUUAAGCCCCAGUAAACGGCGGCCGUAACAAUAACGGUCCUAAGGUAGCGAAAUUCCUUGUCGGGUAAGUUCCGACCCGCACGAAAGGCGUAACGAUUUGGGCACUGUCUCAACAAUAGACUCGGUGAAAUUGUAAUCCCGGUGAAGAUGCCGGGUACCUGCGACAGGACGGAAAGACCCCAUGGAGCUUUACUGUAGCUUGACGUUGGGUCUUGGUACUACAUGUACAGGAUAGGUGGGAGACUAUGAAGCAUGGACGCCAGUCUGUGUGGAGUCAUCCUUGGGAUACCACCCUUGUAGUACUGGGAUCCUAACCAUAGGCCUUGAAUCAGGUCUUGGAACACCGUCAGGUGGGCAGUUUGACUGGGGCGGUCGCCUCCUAAAAAGUAACGGAGGCGCUCAAAGGUUUCCUCAGCACGGUCGGAAAUCGUGCGAAGAGUGUAAAGGCAAAAGGAAGCUUGAUUGCAAGACAUACAGGUCGAGCAAGGACGAAAGUCGGACUUAGUGAUCCGGUGGUACCGCAUGGAAGGGCCAUCGCUCAACGGAUAAAAGCUACCCUGGGGAUAACAGGCUUAUCUCCCCCAAGAGUCCACAUCGACGGGGAGGUUUGGCACCUCGAUGUCGGCUCAUCACAUCCUGGGGCUGUAGUAGGUCCCAAGGGUUGGGCUGUUCGCCCAUUAAAGUGGUACGCGAGCUGGGUUCAGAACGUCGUGAGACAGUUCGGUCCCUAUCCGUCGCAGGCGUAGGAAAUUUGAGAAGACCUGUCCUUAGUACGAGAGGACCGGGAUGGACGUACCUCUGGUGUACCAGUUGUUCUGCCAAGGGCAUGGCUGGGUAGCUAUGUACGGAAUGGAUAAGCGCUGAAAGCAUCUAAGCGCGAAGCCAACUUCAAGAUAAGAUUUCCCACCGUAAGGGUAAGACCCCAGGAAGACUACCUGGUUGAUAGGUCGAAGGUGUAAGUGCAGUAAUGUAUUUAGCUUAUCGAUACUAAUAGGUCGAGGACUUGACCG
rnacentral:rRNA from 1 species